rnacentral:misc_RNA from 1 species
UCUCCGUUGGUGAACCAGCGGAGGGAUCAUUACAGAGUUAUCUACCUCCCAAACCCAUGUGAACUUACCAUUUGUUGCCUCGUCAGAGCCUACCCGGUAACUGUUCGGAGAAGCUACCCUGUAGCUACCCUGUAACGGCCUACCCUGUAACGCACUGCCGGUGGACUUUUAAACUCUUGUUAUUUUAUAGUUAUCUGGGCGUCUUAUUUUAUUAAGUCAAACCUUUCAACAACGGAUCCCUUGGUUCUGGCAUCGAUGAAGAACGCAGC